CUGCUAUGGGGUUUCGACUAAGCCAUGCAAGUUUGGGGACCUUCGGGUCACCGGCGAAUCGCUCAGUAACACGUCAUUAAUUUGCCCUUAGGCCAGGAAUAACCUUGGAAAACUGAGGCUAAUGCCUGAUAGGGAAUAUCUGCUGGAAUGCUUUAUUCUUCAAACUCGUGCCUAAGGAUAAGAUGGCGGCUGAUUAGGUUGUUGGCGGUGUAAUGAAGCGUAAGAGUAUCUUACUAUUUGAAAAUGCUCACGCAUUUACAAGACCACCAAGCCUACGAUCAGUAGGGGCCCUGAGAGGGGUACCCCCGAGAAGGGAACUGAGACACUGUCCCUAACCCUACGGGGUGCAGCAGGCGCGAAACCUUUACAAUGCACGAAAGUGUGAUAAGGGGAACCCUAGUGCUAUACUUAUGGUAUGGCUUUUCUCAUAUGUAAAAAGUAUGGGGAAUAAGUGGUGGGCAAGACGGGUGCCAGCCGCCGCGGUAACACCUGCGCCACAAGUGGCAACCGUGAUUAUUGGGCCUAAAGCGUUCGUAGCCUGUUAAGUAAAUUCUUUGUGAAAUUGUGUAGCUAAACUAUACAGCGUGCAGGGAAGACUGCUUGACUAGGGACCGGGAGAUGUUAGAGGUAUUUUUGGGGGAACGGUAAAAUGUUAUAAUCCCAAAAAGACCACCUGUUGCGAAGGCGUCUAACAAGAACGGAUCUGACGGUGAGGGACGAAGGCCAGGGGAGCAAAUCGGAUUAGAUACCCGAGUAGUCCUGGCAGUAAACGCUGCGAGCUAGGUGUUGCAUAAUCUAUGUGGUUAUGCAGUAUCGAAGCGAAGGUGAUAAGCUCGCCGCCUGGGAAGUACGGUCGCAAGGCUGAAACUUAAAGGAAUUGGCGGGGGCGCACUACAACGAGUGCGGCGUGCGGUUUAAUCAGACUCUACACCGUGAACCUCACCAGGAACGACGGCAGGAUGAAGGUCAGAUUGAAGGUCUUACCUAACGAGCCGAGAGGAGGUGCAUGGCCGUCGUCAGCUCGUGCCGUAAGGUGUCCAGUUAAGUCUGGCAACGAGCAAGACCCACAUCUACUGUUGCAAACGGGCUCUCCGGAGUGACCGCGCACACUGUAGAGACUGCCUCGGAAACGAGGAGGAAGGUGUGGGCAACGAUAGGUGGUAUGCCCCGAAUUUCCUGGGCUACACGCGCGCAACAAUGGUAGGGACAAUGGGCUACGACUCUGAAAAGAGAAGUUAAUCCUCGAAACCCUACUCUAGUUCGGAUUGAGGGCUGCAACCCGCCCUCAUGACGCCGGAAUUCGUAGUAAUCGCUUGUCAUCAGCAAGCGGUGAAUACGUCCCUGUGCCUUGCACACACCGCCCGUCACACCACUCGAGUAGAGUUUGGGUGAGGCUUGUGCUCUAGCACAUUCCGAACCUAGGUUCUGCGAG
rnacentral:rRNA from 1 species